UACGGGGGGGGCAAGCGUUGUUCGGAAUUACUGGGCGUAAAGCGUGCGCAGGCGGUGAUGUAAGACAGAUGUGAAAUCCCCGGGCUCAACCUGGGAACUGCAUUUGUGACUGCAUCGCUGGAGUGCGGCAGAGGGGGAUGGAAUUCCGCGUGUAGCAGUGAAAUGCGUAGAUAUGCGGAGGAACACCGAUGGCGAAGGCAAUCCCCUGGGCCUGCACUGACGCUCAUGCACGAAAGCGUGGGGAGCAAACGGG
rnacentral:rRNA from 1 species